rnacentral:rRNA from 1 species
GGCUUAUUGAGUAUAAUUUUAAGUCUAGCCUGCCCACUGAAAUAUUAAAGGGCCGCGGUAUUUUGACCGUGCAAAGGUAGCAUAAUCAUUAGUUUUUUAAUUGAAAGCUGGAAUGAAUGGUUGAAUGAGAAAAAAGCUGUCUCUUAUAUAAAAAUUGAAUUUUAUUUUUAAGUUAAAAAGCUUAAAUUUUUUUAAAAGACGAGAAGACCCUAUAGAGUUUUAUUAAUAUUAGAUAAAAUUAUUUUAGUUUUGAAAAAAUUUUUUUAUAAUAUUAAUUUGAUUGGGGUGAUUAAAAAAUUAAAUAAACUUUUUUUUAAAAAAAACAAUAAUAAUUGAUUUUUUGAUCCAAAAUUUUUGAUUAUAAGAUUAAAUUACCUUAGGGAUAACAGCGUAAUUUUUUUUGAGAGUUCUUAUUGAAAAAAAAGAUUGCGACCUCGAUGUUGGAUUAAAAUAUAUAUUUGGUGCAGAAGCUAAAUCAAUUAAGUCUGUUCGACUUUUAAAAUUUUACA